GACGAACGCUGGCGGCGUGCUUAACACAUGCAAGUCGAACGGUGAAGCGCCUUCCUUUUUGGUGGGUGUGGAUGAGUGGCGAACGGGUGAGUAACACGUGAGUAACCUGCCCCCUUCUUCUGGAUAACCGCAUGAAAGUGUGGCUAAUACGGGAUAUUCUGGGUCUGUCGCAUGAUGGGUCUGGGAAAGAUAUUGUUUCGGUGGGGGAUGGGCUCGCGGCCUAUCAGCUUGUUGGUGGGGUGAUGGCCUACCAAGGCGGUGACGGGUAGCCGGCCUGAGAGGGUGGACGGUCACACUGGGACUGAGACACGGCCCAGACUCCUACGGGAGGCAGCAGGGGGGAAUAUUGCACAAUGGGCGCAAGCCUGAUGCAGCGACGCCGCGGGAGGGAUGGAGGCCUGCGGGUUGUGAACCUCUUUCGCCAGUGAAGCAGGCCUGCCUCGUUUGUGGGUGGGUUGACGGUAGCUGGAGAAGAAGCGCCGGCUAACUACGUG
rnacentral:rRNA from 1 species